ACGCUCGACACCUACGGGAGCAGCAGUGGGGAAUAUUGCACAAUGGGGGAAACCCUGAUGCAGCGACGCCGCGUGAAGGAAGAAGUAUCUCGGUAUGUAAACUUCUAUCAGCAGGGAAGAAAAUGACGGUACCUGACUAAGAAGCCCCGGCUAACUACGUGCCAGCAGCCGCGGUAAUCUGAGCGGGCUGGCAAGGC
rnacentral:rRNA from 1 species